CACAAAAUCAAUUAAUUUAAAUUUAAUUUAAAUUAUUUUAAUCAAUAAAAAUUUAAAUUAUUAAACUAUUAUAAAGUAUUUGUGUUAUCAGACUUUUGUCUUGUUGACAGUGACUUUCAACCAUUGCUUGAUGUGCUCGGGCUCUGGUUUCAAAUUCGAGAUGAUUUUGCCAAUUUGUGUUCGUCUGAGGUGAAUAGCCGAUAGGGUAGCUGAAGUAUUGCUGUCUGUUUGUUACUGUGUAUUGUGUGGGUUUAGUAUGAAAAGAAUAAGAGCUACUGUGAAGACAUCACAGAAGGAAAGUUUUCGUUCCCGAUUAUUCAUGGAGUAUACAGCAAUAUGCAGAGCACACAAUGAAUAAAUAUAUUGAGACAACGUACAGAAAAUGUGGAUGUAAAGUGAUACUUUAUACAAUACCUAGAAAAGGCACAUUCAUUUGAAUACACAAGGAAAGUGCUUUUGCACUAGAAGAACAGGCAUUAGAGGAGAUAUCUAAGCUCGGUGGCAAUCCUGUCUUAUCUGCUGUGUUUGAACGCCUCAGAGCUGUGUAUGCCCACCAAUAGAUU